GGGCCUUCCAGUCAAGGUCCCUUCAGCUCUCUGAGUUACUCUUACCGAUUGUAGGAAAAGGCAAGCAUGCUGAAGAACAGUUGGCUCCACGGGUGACUACGAGUUUGGGGUGGGACCCCAGGGACAGGCUAUUUAUGGCGAACUGGGGAAACACAGCCAAAGAAACACCCACUGUGUAAGAAGACAGAUAGAGGAACCUAAAGUACCUGGCUCAAGCUGGCCCAGGGCUGGCAAGCCCUUCUGCGGAGCCACCCUGCCCUGGAGGCUGGACUGCCUGUUUCUGAAGCCACCUUCCGUGGGUCCUAAGUGAGGUCUGCAAGAAACUGGCUGUCACCAUCCAAGCCUGCCAGCUUCACAUGAUAAAACUCCCUGGCACUCUGAGCUGGUGUGCCCCACAGACACCUCACCACCACCCGCUCCAGGGAGGGGCCCUCCUGAGUGAUGUGCCAGGAGGCAGGGCCAGGCCUGCUGGGAGGCGGGCCUGCCUCAUCGGUAUUUCCAUUUCCACUCAGCCCUCAGGCUGAAAGGGAGGAAUGGGACACUCCUCAAAGCCAGCACGGUAAUUGAGGAGGCAUUAAGCUUAAUUAGGCUAAUCGUCUGCCUGAAGUCAUUCACCUUCAACCUCCAAAAAGCAACUUCAGAAAAAACCUCGUAGCAGCCGUGGGGCUGGAGGGCGCAGGUGGAGGAUUAAGGAGCUGGUGUCUGGAAUUCCUAAGAGGAUUCCGGCACGGUCUCAGGAGUCUUGGGGUGCAGAGCCAACCAACUAAACCUAUGCCCAAGACGGACCCAAAGGGGAACUUCUCAGCUUUUAGUCCCAAGCCGGGAUCUGGGCUUGGCUGAGGCUGGGGGACUUUUCCGGUUUCCCUCUGAGCCUAUUUGAUUUGGUCAGUGGAGACCUGACCAAGGGAGCCGAUGUGCCCACACACGUUCCCACAGGUCCCCACAGGUUUACUUUCUCCAGCUGUUUCGCUCCCCAUAGCAAUGGCCUCCUGUCUGCCAGGGCUGAAGGACAGACAGUGGUGUUUAAUUUUGUGUAACUGACCAACUAACAGACAGAAAGACUUCCCCAUCUUUCUGUGGAGUGACUCUUUACUCAAAAGACCCGCAUGCAAGCGUUGAUGGCUGAAAAGCCCAGCUGAAAAUGAGCAAUCCUUUGCAAUGAGGAAAAAAACAAACAAAUAAUCUAUUUAGCAGCUACAUGGAAUCCCAAACCCCCAUAUCUCAAAAGCUCCAGGGAAUAGAGACUGGAGAGGCCAAACCAG
rnacentral:lncRNA from 1 species